UAACUGCCUCUCUGAGAUCAGGGUUUACCACCAGGGAGUGAUUUUUAGUCUGCAGGAAGAGCAGAAGCCAGAAACUGCACAGACAACAUUACAACAGGAAACUGCAGGAAAACUGGAAGACAGUUUUUCAUGUCUUAACAGAGAAACUUACAGUAUAGGAAUCCCAGAUUUUUAUUUAUUUGAGAGAGAGAGUGAAAGGGAGAAGCAGACUCCACACUGAGCAGAGAGACUGAUGUGGGGAUCGAUCCCAGGACCAAAAGAUCAUGAUCUGAGCCGAAGGUCGAUGCUAACCAACUGAGUCACCCAGGUGCCCCUGACUGGUGUUCUUAAAAGAAGAGGAAGAGAAACCAGGGAUGUACACACACAGAGGAAGGGCCAUGUGAAGAUGGAGCAAGAAGGCAACUAUUUGCAAACCAAGGAGACAGACCUCAGGAAAACUGAUCAUACUGUAUCUUGAUCUCUCCUGGAUUUGCAGCCUCCAGAACUUUCAGAAAAUAAAUUUCUUUUAUUUAGAUCACUCAGUCUAUGAUAUUUUGUUAUGGCAUCCUUAGCAUACCAGUAUUUAAUUACUCAGAUGAAAUGGACAAAAAAGAAAAUAUUAAGGAAUAGACUACAAAAUGACUAGGCUAAUAAAUGAGUUCACCAAAGUUCCAGGAUAUAUCAAGAUACAAAAAUU
rnacentral:lncRNA from 1 species